rnacentral:lncRNA from 1 species
GCCAUCAAGCUGAUCUGAUUGGCAAACCCUGGUGCGACCUGAGUGUCCGGCGAUCGGAUGGAUGGACGGAUAGAUCGGUAGCCAUGCAUAUUUUCCGGUAAUUAGGGUUUAGGUAUUUGGAAAAAAAAUCCAAUGCUCGCCAUUAGGUUCUACUCUAAGAUUGUGUUCCUUGGCAAACUUAUCGACAGCUCUCCUAACACCAUAUUCCUCAGAUCCGUUGAAGUAAUCGUGUCCGAACAUGACGCCGCCGGGCUUGAGAAGCUUCCAAGCUCUGUUGAUAUCUUCCCACGCAGAAUGAAAACUAUGUCCAGCGUCGACUUCUAUAAGAUCUGCGUAUAUCCCGGUGAGACACAACUUGUCU